rnacentral:rRNA from 1 species
GGCGAGUGGCGACGGGUGAGUAAUAUAUCGGAACGUACCCUAGAGUGGGGGAUAACGUAGCGAAAGUUACGCUAAUACCGCAUACGAUCUAAGGAUGAAAGUGGGGGAUCGCAAGACCUCAUGCUCGUGGAGCGGCCGAUAUCUGAUUAGCUAGUUGGUAGGGUAAAAGCCUACCAAGGCAUCGAUCAGUAGCUGGUCUGAGAGGACGACCAGCCACACUGGAACUGAGACACGGUCCAGACUCCUACGGGAGGCAGCAGUGGGGAAUUUUGGACAAUGGGCGAAAGCCUGAUCCAGCAAUGCCGCGUGAGUGAAGAAGGCCUUCGGGUUGUAAAGCUCUUUUGUCAGGGAAGAAACGGUGAGAGCUAAUAUCUCUUGCUAAUGACGGUACCUGAAGAAUAAGCACCGGCUAACUACGUGCCAGCAGCCGCGGUAAUACGUAGGGUGCAAGCGUUAAUCGGAAUUACUGGGCGUAAAGCGUGCGCAGGCGGUUUUGUAAGUCUGAUGUGAAAUCCCCGGGCUCAACCUGGGAAUUGCAUUGGAGACUGCAAGGCUAGAAUCUGGCAGAGGGGGGUAGAAUUCCACGUGUAGCAGUGAAAUGCGUAGAUAUGUGGAGGAACACCGAUGGCGAAGGCAGCCCCCUGGGUCAAGAUUGACGCUCAUGCACGAAAGCGUGGGGAGCAAACAGGAUUAGAUACCCUGGUAGUCCACGCCCUAAACGAUGUCUACUAGUUGUCGGGUCUUAAUUGACUUGGUAACGCAGCUAACGCGUGAAGUAGACCGCCUGGGGAGUACGGUCGCAAGAUUAAAACUCAAAGGAAUUGACGGGGACCCGCACAAGCGGUGGAUGAUGUGGAUUAAUUCGAUGCAACGCGAAAAACCUUACCUACCCUUGACAUGGCUGGAAUCCUUGAGAGAUCAGGGAGUGCUCGAAAGAGAACCAGUACACAGGUGCUGCAUGGCUGUCGUCAGCUCGUGUCGUGAGAUGUUGGGUUAAGUCCCGCAACGAGCGCAACCCUUGUCAUUAGUUGCUACGAAAGGGCACUCUAAUGAGACUGCCGGUGACAAACCGGAGGAAGGUGGGGAUGACGUCAAGUCCUCAUGGCCCUUAUGGGUAGGGCUUCACACGUCAUACAAUGGUACAUACAGAGCGCCGCCAACCCGCGAGGGGGAGCUAAUCGCAGAAAGUGUAUCGUAGUCCGGAUUGUAGUCUGCAACUCGACUGCAUGAAGUUGGAAUCGCUAGUAAUCGC